AGUGAACGCUGGCGGUAGGCCUAACACAUGCAAGUCGAACGGCAGCACAGUAAGAGCUUGCUCUUACGGGUGGCGAGUGGCGGACGGGUGAGGCAUACAUCGGAAUCUACUUUUUCUUGUGGGAUAACGUAGGGAAACUUACGCUAAUACCGCAUACUACCUACGGGUGAAAGCAGGGGAUCUUCGGACCUUGCGCGAUUGAAUGAUCCGAUGUCGGAUUAUCUAGUUGGCGGGGUAAAGGCCCACCAAGGCGACGACCCGUAGCUGGUCUGAGAGGAUGAUCAGCCAGACUUGAACUGAGACAAGGUACAAGCCCAUACGGGAGGCAGGAGUGGGGAAUAGUGGACAAUGGGCGCAAGCCUGAUCAAGCCAUACCGAGUGGGUGAAGAAGGCAUUCGGGUUGUAAAGCCCUUUUGUUGGGAAAGAAAAGCAGCAGGUUAAUAACCCGAUGUUGUGACGGUACCAAACGAAUAAGCACCGGCUAACUUCGUG
rnacentral:rRNA from 1 species